UAACAUCAUCAGCACUAGUGUGGAUGAUGAGAGUAAAAAGAAAGUAUAACUGCAUGGAGACGAUAACUUUAAUGAUUAUUAUCGAAACAGCAUCAAGGUAUUGUCAGGCUGGUGGAGAGAUGACCAGGUUGAUGUUGCCUUGACACGGCUGGAGUGAUGGUGAGGCUAGUGGAGUGAUGCAGCUGGUGGAGCAAAGGAGAGGCUGGUGGUGCUUGCCAUUCCUGUAAGCGGCGGAGUGAUGACGGAGCUGGUUAGUGGGGCUAUUAAUGUAGAUGAAGCAGAUAUGUUGACCUUAGUCCUGGGGAUCUACAUACCUAUAGAAGCUGAAGUCAAG